rnacentral:lncRNA from 1 species
AGGUACAAUUUUUGCAAGGUAAUAUCUAAGCAUGCUGUCAAUUCUUUGGUUGAGACGUAGUAUUCUAAACUUCAGGCCUUAAUUUUUUUAUGGGAUAUUAUCAUUUUCCCACCAAAGGUAUUCUGACACAUUAUGUCAGUAUCACGGUUUGGUAAAACUAUCAAUUUACCACCAAACAUUUAAACUGUUAGCAUUUUCCCACCAUUCCGUUAAAACUCAGUUAAUAUGUAACGGAAAAUUCCUAAAAGGUCAAUUUUACCCCUAGAGCAUAAAAGACCAUGUAAUUAACCUUUUAUGAAUUUUGUAAUUAAAUCAUUAUUUAUUGUUCUUCCUUCUUAAAGGACCAAAAUUACCCUUUAUGAAUUUUAUAAAAUUGACCUUGUGGUAUUAGGUAAUUCAUAAAUUGAUUUAAUUUAUUUAAAUUUUAAAAGGCAAAUUUAUUUAUUUAAUUUUUUGUGUAAAAUUAUUAUCAUCAUUUCAAAGAUUAAAUUGCUUCUUUUGCACAUUCUUUUUUUUUUUUGCCCUUUCAUAAAUUAAGUUUUAGUAGUAGAAUAAAUUGUCUUUAGCUCGUCAAUUUAAUAAAUAAAUUUGUCCUUUAAAAAUUAAAUAAAUUAAAUCAAUUUAUGAAGUACCUAAUACCACACGGUCAAUUUUAUAAAAUUUAUAAAGGGUAAUUUUUGUCCUUUAAGAAGGAAGAACAACAAAUGAUGAUUUAAUUACAAAAUUCAUAAAAGGUUAAUUACAUAGUCUUUUAUGCUCCAGGGGUAAAAUUGACCUUUUAUGAAUUUUCUGUUACAUAUUAACUGAGUUUUAACGGAAUGGUGGGAAAAUGCUAAUAGUUUAAACGUUUGGUGGUAAAUUGAUAGUUUUACCAAACCAUGGUACUAACAUGAUGUGUCAGAAUACCUUUAGUGGGAAAAUGAUAAUAUCCCUUUUUUUAUUUCCAAGUGUAUAAUGGGUAGGUACUGGAUCUCUUAUGAAUGAUGUAGUUAAUGUUUUUUUAUUGUCUCUAUUUUGGUAAAUGUGUUGUCAUUAAUUUAUUAUCUGAACAUAUGGUUGAUUAACUUACUUGAGGUAAGUCUAUUAAUUAAUAGUGAUAUGGUACUUUAAAGUCUUGUUUUACGACUUAAGUCACUAAAAUGAUUUAAUAUUUAUGAUUUAUAAUAUAUGAAUAUAUCUUAAUUUCUCUUUAUUCUUUGUAAGAAUGAUGUAGAUUGCUGAAGCUGGUGAGAUUCAUUUGCAAAUUGAAGACUUGAUGAGAAAUUAGAUGUACUCACACAUGCCAAUCUUGUUGGUUGCUAGUGUAUUCACUAGUAGAAGUUUAAUGAUUGUUGGAGAUUUUUGUAGAGCUAUCUCUUUGUAUAUGAAACAUUUGCAUCAUUUUGUAUAUGAAACAUUUGUGAAAAAUAAUUGUAAAGAAUUUAAUAUGAAAUUAGAAUUAAAAUAGGGGCUUGAAAUAGUCUUAAAUUUGCCAAAUUUAUUUUUUUAAUAAUAAAUAACAAAGAUGAUGGUUAUUUUAAAAGAACCGUCAUCAAAUG